GAUGAACGCUGGCGGCGUGCCUAAUACAUGCCAGUCGAGCGAACAGACGAGGAGCUUGCUCCUCUGACGUUAGCGGCGGACGGGUGAGUAACACGUGGCUAACCUACCUAUAAGACUGGGAUAACUUCGGGAAACCUGAGCUAAUACCGGAUAAUAUAUUGAACCGCAUGGUUCAAUAGUGAAAGACGGUUUUGCUGUCACUUAUAGAUGGAUCCGCGCCGCAUUAGCUAGUUGGUAAGGUAACGGCUUACCAAGGCGACGAUGCGUAGCCGACCUGAGAGGGUGAUCGGCCACACUGGAACUGAGACACGGUCCAGACUCCUACGGGAGGCAGCAGUAGGGAAUCUUCCGCAAUGGGCGAAAGCCUGACGGAGCAACGCCGCGUGAGUGAUGAAGGUCUUCGGAUCGUAAAACUCUGUUAUUAGGGAAGAACAAAUGUGUAAGUAACUAUGCACGUCUUGACGGUACCUAAUCAGAAAGCCACGGCUAACUACGUG
rnacentral:rRNA from 1 species